GUGCUUGCUUGGGCAGCAUCUAUACUAAAAUUAGAAUGAUACAGAGAAUAUUAUCAUGGCCCUGUGCAAGUUCAUGAAGUGUUUCAUAUUUUU
ensembl:snRNA U6 U6 spliceosomal RNA